rnacentral:rRNA from 1 species
CAGUAGCCGCGGUAAUACAGAGGCCUCAAGCGUUGUUCGGAUUCAUUGGGCGUAAAGGGUGCGUAGGUGGCUUGGUAAGUUGAAGGUGAAAUCUCGGGGCUUAACCCCGAAACUGCCUUCAAUACUGCUAGGCUCGAGGACCGUAGAGGAGAAUGGAAUUCACGGUGUAGCAGUGAAAUGCGUAGAUAUCGUGAGGAAGACCAGUGGCGAAGGCGAUUCUCUGGGCAGUUCCUGACACUGAGGCACGAAGGCCAGGGGAGCAAACGGGAUUAGAGACCCCUGUAGUCCCUGUCUCUUAUAC